UACAGAGGAUGCAAGCGUUAUCCGGAAUGAUUGGGCGUAAAGCGUCUGUAGGUGGCUUUUUAAGUCCGCCGUCAAAUCCCAGGGCUCAACUCUGGACAGGCGGUGGAAACUACCAAGCUGGAGUACGGUAGGGGCAGAGGGAAUUUCCGGUGGAGCGGUGAAAUGCGCAGAUAUCUGGAGGAACACCGGUGGCGAAGGCGGCAUCCUGGACCAACACUGACACUGAGGAGCGAAAGCCAGGGGAGCAAACGGG
rnacentral:rRNA from 1 species